GUUAAAAAGCUCGUAGUUGAACCU
rnacentral:siRNA from 1 species